GGAGGCGUCUGGGUUCCUGGUGGGCCCCGCGGUCUUCAAAACCGUAGAGGCGGCCUCCGGUCGCCUGGCGGGUUCGAUUCCCGUCCGCCUCCGCCA
rnacentral:tRNA from 1 species